CACAAUGGGCGCAAGCCUGAUGCGAAGCCAUGCCGCGUGUAUGAAGAAGGCCUUCGGGUUGUAAAGUACUUUCAGCAGUGAGGAAGGUGGAUAUGUUAAUAGCAUAUUCAUUUGACGUUUAGCUGCAGAAGAAGCACCGGCUAACUCCGUGCCAGCAGCCGCGGUAAUACGGAGGGUGCGAGCGUUAAUCGGAAUUACUGGGCGUAAAGCGCAUGCAGGUGGUUUGUUAAGUCAGAUGUGAAAGCCCGGGGCUCAACCUCGGAAUUGCAUUUUGAAAACUGGCAAACUAGAGUACUGUAGAGGGGGUAGGAAUUUCAGGUGUAGCGGUGAAAUGCGUAGAGAUCUGAAGGAAUACCGGUGGCGAAGGCGGCCCCCUGGACAGAUACUGACACUCAGAUGCGAAAGCGUGGGGAGCAAACAGGAUUAGAUACCCUGGUAG
rnacentral:rRNA from 1 species